rnacentral:rRNA from 1 species
UACGAAGGGGGCUAGCGUUGUUCGGAAUUACUGGGCGUAAAGCGCGCGCAGGCGGUCCUUUAAGUCAGGGGUGAAAGCCCAGAGCUCAACUCUGGAACUGCCUUUGAAACUAGAGGACUUGGGUACGGGAGAGGUGAGUGGAAUUCCGAGUGUAGAGGUGAAAUUCGUAGAUAUUCGGAAGAACACCAGUGGCGAAGGCGACUUACUGGACACAUAUUGACGCUGAGGUGCGAAAGCGUGGGGAGCAAACAGG